GGGGGGAACCCUGACCGAGCAACGCCGCGUGAGUGAAGAAGGUUUUCGGAUCGUAAAGCUCUGUUGUAAGAGAAGAACGAGUGUGAGAGUGGAAAGUUCACGCUGUGACGGUAUCUUACCAGAAAGGGACGGCUAACUACGUGCCAGCAGCCGCGGUAAUACGUAGGUCCCGAGCGUUAUCCGGAUUUAUUGGGCGUAAAGCGAGCGCAGGCGGUUAGAUAAGUCUGAAGUUAAAGGCUGUGGCUUAACCAUAGUACGCUUUGGAAACUGUUUAACUUGAGUGCAAGAGGGGAGAGUGGAAUUCCAUGUGUAGCGGUGAAAUGCGUAGAUAUAUGGAGGAACACC
rnacentral:rRNA from 1 species